UUGAAAGGGAAACGAUUGAAGUCAGUCGUACCUGCGGGUAAUCAGCCUUUUGGGCAUGAUUCUGUGGAGCGUGAGGAGUUAAACGCCUUCAUGCCUGCAUAUUCGUGUACUUUGGGUGUACUUGCCUGUGUGGUUAGUUAACAUCAAUUUUGGUUAUCAUAAAAUGGUUGGAGGAAUGUAGCUUCGAUUUCGAUUGAAGUGUUAUAGCCUUCGGCAGAUGUGAUGAUCGGGAUUGAGGGUUGCAACGGAUACCCUUCGGGGCUACCUGUCUGGUCUCUGAUCGUUGCUUUGGUGCCGAAAGCGUGCUUACGGUUAUCAAAGUCGAUGGUCAAUAGGUUAGAACGGGUUAAAUUCGUUAAGGAUGUUGACGUA
rnacentral:rRNA from 1 species